AUACGGAGGAUGCGAGCGUUAUCCGGAUUUAUUGGGUUUAAAGGGUGCGUAGGCUGUUCGUCAAGUCAGUGGUGAAAUGCCGGGGCUCAACCCCGGAGCUGCCAUUGAUACUGUCGGGCUUGAAUCCUGCUGCCGUGGGAGGAAUGAGUAGUGUAGCGGUGAAAUGCAUAGAUAUUACUCAGAACACCGAUUGCGAAGGCAUCUCACGAAACAGGCAUUGACGCUGAGGCACGAAAGCGUGGGGAUCAAACAGGAUUAGAUACCCUGGUAGUCCACGCAGUAAACGAUGAUGACUAACCGCUGGCGAUACAAUGUCAGUGGCCAAGCGAAAGCGAUAAGUCAUCCACCUGGGGAGUACGACCGCAAGGUUGAAACUCAAAUGAAUUGACGGGG
rnacentral:rRNA from 1 species